GCCUGGUACCAUUUGAGCUCUCAACUGUUGCCUGAGAGCUACAAGUUGCGUGAGAGCUGCAAGAGUGAAAAUUCACUCCUCCUUGUGUCUCGUGAAGGAAACACACACUGAUAUGGUUUGGCUUUGUGUCCCCACCCAAAUCUCACCUCGAAUUGUAAUCUUCACUUGUCGAGGGAAGGAGGUGACUGGAUCAUGGCAGCGGUUCCCCUCUGCUGUUCUUGGGAUAGUGAGUUCUCACAAGACCUAAUGGUUUUAUAAGGCAGUUUUCCCUGCUCUCGCUUGCUCUCUCUCCUGCCACCCUGUGAAGAGGUGCCUGCUUCCCCUUCUGCCAUGAUUGUAUGUUUCCCAGCCAUGUGGAGGUGUGAGUGAAUUAGACCUCUUUCUUUUAUAAACUACCCAGUCUCAGGUAUUUCUUUACAGCAGUGUAAGAACUGACUAGUAAACACACACAUACCAAAAAAUCUGUUAAUUACAGGUUAAAAUUCUCCAUUCUGUGAUGGAUUUAAAAUAUAAGCUAUUUAUCUUAUGAGUCGAAGUUAUCUCAACCUAAGUCAGCAUUUUCCCUGAAGUUCCCCUUCCCAAACAUGCCUUCUUAUGCUACCCCACAGGGUGGCCAGCUCUGGCCAGCCCGCUGCACUCAAUCUCCAACAGCUAUAUGGCUCAUUCAGCAGAGAUCGAUGUUUUCCUCCCAUAUGAACAGGAGCUCCUGAGAUUCCUCCAAAUUAGGGUUAGCAAACAGUGGCCUAUGGACUACCACCUGUUUUUUGUCAGUAAAGUUUUAUUGGAACAUAGCCAUGUCCUGUCAUUUAGAUACUGUCUAAGGCUGCUUUUGAGCCAUCCUGGCAGAGCUGAGUAAUUGUUAACAUGGACUGUGACGCUUUAGGCCCGUAGAGCUUAAAAUAUUUACUAUCUGGCCCUUUAAGAGUUUGGCCACCCCUGCUCCCCCCUGAAGGUUAUAUGGUUUUUUUUUUUUUUGAGACAGAGUCUCUCUCUGUUGCCCAGGCUGGAAUGCAGUGGCGCAAUCCCAGCUCACUGCAAGCUCCGCCUCCCGGGUUUACGCCAUUCUCCUGCCUCAGCCUCCUGAGUAGCUGGGACUACAGGCGCCCCCCCACCCACCACCAAGCCCGGCUAAUUUUUUUGUAUUUUUUAGUAGAGACGGGGUUUCACCGUGUUAGCCAAGAUGGUCUCAAUCUCCUGACCUCGUGAUCCGCCCGCCUCAGCCUCCCAAAGUGCUGGGAUUACAGGCGUGAGCCCCCGCGCUCGGCCGGUCAUGUGCUUUCUUGGAAGUGAAUGCAUGGAAUGAUGACUCAGAUUAGGACCCACACUGUUCUGGAUGAAGCUGAUCAAAACUCUUAAUGGUUAGCAACCUGGCACAGACCUGCAAUUUCUCAUCCAUGUCGUCAUCACUUUCAUCCAGGUCUUCGUGGAGUAGUCGCCAUUCAUAUUCAACGUGAACGUGAGAAUUAAAUCUUCCAGAUAAGGCUUGGGUCAGCUGAGAGAACAGAGGGAUGGUCAGUGCUGUUGCUCAUACACUCGGCCAUGCAUCUGGACCCACUGAAGUGUGCAGGCAGGAGGCCUGCCUUCUAGUCCAAGGCAAAUGCAUGGAAAUCUCUGGGUCUCAGGUGAAGCCCCCGCCCCUCUGCCUACUUCACAGCGUAACCUUGAAACUCAAAGCUGGUAUGUCCCAGCAAAGGCUUUGUAAACUGUAUUAGUUUUCAUCCACAGUUCCCGGCUCGUAACUCUCAAAUCCCUUGUUACAGUCUUCGGUUAUAACAUGGAGUGUUAAGGCCUCAGGAGACAGAAUCUCUCUGAACUUCUCCUGCCCCAAGGCAGGACUCUUAUCGUCCCCCACUUUUCUGACUGUGGGUCUUAAGGCCCUCCCCAGAGAGGGUCUCACCCUGUACCCUGGGGGAAGAGAUGCUGACACCAAGAAGCUUCCAUAAAAAUCAAAGAGGACUGGUUCUCGAGCUUCAGGAUGGCAAACCACACAGAGGGUCCUGGAGGGUGGCACCCAGGGAGGGCAUGGAACCCCCAUGUCCCCUCCCCCACACCUUGCCCUACGCACCUCUCUAUCUGUAUGCUUUGCAAUAUCCUUUAUAAUAAACCAGUAAACACAA